AGUGAACGCUGGCGGUAGGCCUAACACAUGCAAGUCGAACGGCAGCACAGUAAGAGCUUGCUCUUACGGGUGGCGAGUGGCGGACGGGUGAGGAAUACAUCGGAAUCUACUUUUUCGUGGGGGAUAACGUAGGGAAACUUACGCUAAUACCGCAUACGACCUACGGGUGAAAGCAGGGGAUCUUCGGACCUUGCGCGAUUGAAUGAGCCGAUGUCGGAUUAGCUAGUUGGCGGGGUAAAGGCCCACCAAGGCGACGAUCCGUAGCUGGUCUGAGAGGAUGAUCAGCCACACUGGAACUGAGACACGGACCAGACUCCUACGGGAAGCAGCAGUGGGGAAUAUUGGACAAUGGGCGCAAGCCUGAUCCAGCCAUAGCGCGUGGGUGAAGAAGGCCUUCGGGUUGUAAAGCCCUUUUGUUGGGAAAGAAAAGCAGCAGGUUAAUACCCCGCUGUUCUGACGGUACCCAAAGAAUAAGCACCGGCUAACUUCGUG
rnacentral:rRNA from 1 species